rnacentral:rRNA from 1 species
AGGGAUCAUUACUGAGUUUACGCUCUAUAACCCUUUGUGAACAUACCUAUAACUGUUGCUUCGGCGGGUAGGGUCUCCGCGACCCUCCCGGCCUCCCGCCCCCGGGCGGGUCGGCGCCCGCCGGAGGAUAACCAAACUCUGAUUUAACGACGUUUCUUCUGAGUGGUACAAGCAAAUAAUCAAAACUUUUAACAACGGAUCUCUUGGUUCUGGCAUCGAUGAAGAACGCAGCGAAAUGCGAUAAGUAAUGUGAAUUGCAGAAUUCAGUGAAUCAUCGAAUCUUUGAACGCACAUUGCGCCCGCCAGCAUUCUGGCGGGCAUGCCUGUUCGAGCGUCAUUUCAACCCUCAAGCUCUGCUUGGUGUUGGGGCCCUACAGCCGAUGUAGGCCCUCAAAGGUAGUGGCGGACCCUCCCGGAGCCUCCUUUGCGUAGUAACUUUACGUCUCGCACUGGGAUCCGGAGGGACUCUUGCCGUAAAACCCCCCAAUUUUCCAAAGGUUGACCUCGGAUCAGGUAGGAAUACCCGCUGAACUUAAGCAUA